GUCGAACGGUAACAGGUUAAGCUGACGAGUGGCGAACGGGUGAGUAAUGUAUCGGAACGUGCCCAGUCGUGGGGGAUAACUGCUCGAAAGAGCAGCUAAUACCGCAUACGACCUGAGGGUGAAAGCGGGGGAUCGCAAGACCUCGCGCGAUUGGAGCGGCCGAUAUCAGAUUAGGUAGUUGGUGAGGUAAAGGCUCACCAAGCCGACGAUCUGUAGCUGGUCUGAGAGGACGACCGGCCACACUGGGACUGAGACACGGCCCAGACUCCUACGGGAGGCAGCAGUGGGGAAUUUUGGACAAUGGGCGCAAGCCUGAUCCAGCCAUGCCGCGUGCGGGAAGAAGGCCUUCGGGUUGUAAACCGCUUUUGUCAGGGAAGAGAAGGUUCUGGCUAAUACCUGGGACUCAUGACGGUACCUGAAGAAUAAGCACCGGCUAACUACGUGCCAGCAGCCGCGGUAAUACGUAGGGCGCAAGCGUUAAUCGGAAUUACUGGGCGUAAAGCGUGCGCAGGCGGUUAUGCAAGACAGAGGUGAAAUCCCCGGGCUCAACCUGGGAACUGCCUUUGUGACUGCAUGGCUAGAGUACGGUAGAGGGGGACGGAAUUCCGCGUGUAGCAGUGAAAUGCGUAGAUAUGCGGAGGAACACCGAUGGCGAAG
rnacentral:rRNA from 1 species